AACACAUGCAAGUCGAACGGUGACCCAGGCUUGCCCUGUGAUCAGUGGCGAACGGGUGAGUAACACGUGGGCAACCUGCCCCAGACUCUGGGAUAACUUCGGGAAACCGGAGCUAAUACCGGAUACGAAUCGAGUUGGCAUCUUCUCGAUUGGAAAGUUUUUCGGUCUGGGAUGGGCCCGCGGCCUAUCAGCUUGUUGGUGGGGUAAUGGCCUACCAAGGCGACGACGGGUAGCCGGCCUGAGAGGGCGAACGGCCACACUGGGACUGAGACACGGCCCAGACUCCUACGGGAGGCAGCAGUGGGGAAUAUUGCGCAAUGGGCGAAAGCCUGACGCAGCGACGCCGCGU
rnacentral:rRNA from 1 species